UACGUAGGGGGCAAGCGUUGUCCGGAAUCAUUGGGCGGUAAAGAGCGUGUAGGCGGCUCGGUAAGUCCGCUGUGAAAGUCCAGGGCUCAACCCUGGAAUGCCGGUGGAAACUGUCGAGCUAGAGUCCGGAAGAGGCGAGUGGAAUUCCUGGUGUAGCGGUGAAAUGCGCAGAUAUCAGGAGGAACACCAAUGGCGAAGGCAGCUCGCUGGGACGGUACUGACGCUGAGACGCGAAAGCGUGGGGAGCAAACAGG
rnacentral:rRNA from 1 species